rnacentral:rRNA from 1 species
AUUGAACGCUGGCGGAAUGCUUUACACAUGCAAGUCGAACGGCAGCACGGGGGCAACCCUGGUGGCGAGUGGCGUACGGGUGAGUAAUACAUCGGAACGUGCCCGGUCGUGGGGGAUAACGUAGCGAAAGUUACGCUAAUACCGCAUACGAUCUGAGGAUGAAAGCGGGGGACCUUCGGGCCUCGCGCGAUCGGAGCGGCCGAUGUCAGAUUAGGUAGUUGGUGGGGUAAAGGCCUACCAAGCCGACGAUCUGUAGCUGGUCUGAGAGGACGACCAGCCACAGUGGAGGUGGACCGGCGCCCAGGGUCCUGCGGGAGGGAGCAGUGGGGAAUUUGGGACAAUGGGCGCAAGCCUGAUCCAGCCAUCCCGCGUGAAGGACAGAGGCCUUGGGGUUGUAAUGUCGUUUUUUGGGGAGAAAAAAGCUUUGGCCUAAUACGUGGGGCUAAUGACGGUACCGUAUAAAGAAGCACCGGCUAACUACGUG